rnacentral:rRNA from 1 species
ACUGCCGGUGACAAACCGGAGGAAGUGGGGAUGACGUCAAGUCCUCAUGGCCCUUAUGGUAGGGCUUCACACGUCAUACAAUGGUCGGUACAGAGGGUUGCCAAGCCGCGAGGUGGAAGCCAAUCCCUUAAAGCCGAUCGUAGUCCGGAUCGUAGUCUGCAACUCGACUACGUGAAGUCGGAAUCGCUAGUAAUCGCAGAUCAGCAUGCUGCGGUGAAUACGUUCCCGGGUCUU